AUAGAUACCCGGGUAGUCCACGCCGUAAACGAUGAGUACUAGGUGUAGGAGGUAUCGACCCCUUCUGUGCCGCAGUAAACACAAUAAGUACUCCGCCUGGGAAGUACGAUCGCAAGAUUAAAACUCAAAGGAAUUGACGGGGGCCCGCACAAGCAGCGGAGCAUGUGGUUUAAUUCGAAGCAACGCGAAGAACCUUACCUGGACUUGACAUACCCUGAAUAUCUUAGAGAUAAGAGAAGCCCUUCGGGGCAGGGAUACAGGUGGUGCAUGGUUGUCGUCAGCUCGUGUCGUGAGAUGUUAGGUUAAGUCCUGCAACGAGUGCAACCCCUGUCGUUAGUUGCCAUCACGUAAAGGUGGGCACCCUAACGAGACUGCCGCGGUUAACGUGGAGGAAGGUGGGGAUGACGUCAAAUCAUCAUGCCCCUUAUGUCUAGGGCUACACACGUGCUACAAUGGCCGGUACAAUGAGAUGCAAUCCCGGCGAGGGGGAGCUAAACUUAUAAAACCCGGUCCCAGUUCGGAUUGUAGGCUGAAACUCGCCUACA
rnacentral:rRNA from 1 species